GCCUUCGUGGUGUAACGGUUAGCACACUCGGCGCGUAUUCGAGAGGUCCAGGUUCGAGUCCCGGCGAGGGCA
rnacentral:tRNA from 1 species